UAGUGAGAUGAUGCUUUACCAUCUUUCGGGACUGACCAGUCAAUGGAGAUGCCUUAUUUAUCUAACUGAUCACUA